rnacentral:tRNA from 1 species
GGCUCCGUGGCUCAAUGGUUACGGCUUCUGCCUCACAAGCAGAAGGUUCAGGGAUCAAAUCCCGGUCGGUACCU